CUUUCUUUGCUGGCGACCGGCGCACGGGUGAGUAACACGUAUCCAACCUGCCCUUUACUCGGGGAUAGCCUUUCGAAAGAAAGAUUAAUACCCGAUAGCAUAAUGAUUCCGCAUGGUUUCAUUAUUAAAGGAUUCCGGUAAAGGAUGGGGAUGCGUUCCAUUAGGUUGUUGGUGAGGUAACGGCUCACCAAGCCUUCGAUGGAUAGGGGUUCUGAGAGGAAGGUCCCCCACAUUGGAACUGAGACACGGUCCAAACUCCUACGGGAGGCAGCAUG
rnacentral:rRNA from 1 species